ACACAGACUGUUUCCCGUCAGGUUCCUUUGUCUGUGGGGAUUCUCCAGGCAAGAAUACUGGAAUGGGUUGCCAUGCCUUUCUCCAGGGAUCUUCCCAACCCAGGGAUUGAACUGGGGUCUCCUGCAUUGCAUGUGGAUUCUUUACUAGCUGAGCUACGAGGGAAGCCCAAGCUUUCAUUGAAAAAUCAUUCUGGCUCUUGGAUUGAAUAAACCCUGUGGGGAGGCAGUAUCUGGUGGAAAUAAGGAGACUAAGUUUUUUCAAAGGUUUAUUAUUAUCACAGUGAGGUGAAUGAAUGCUGUGGUGUGCCCAGAUCCUCUUUUGGGAUUGUAGCUCCAAUUUUCCCAGCUCCUUGUAGCAUUCUCUUCUCUGCAAGUUGCCCUAUGAUGAAAUGAGUCCAUUAUCCAGUUUGGCUCCCCAGUUCAACACUAUGAAGCCCCCAAUCUACCAACUCUUAACCUUUAUGGACUUCAAAUGCACCAGACCAUAUCUUCAGCUUGCUGGGUUCAGUCAUCCUUCUGUAUAUGGUUCCUACUGUUGCUAGUUUCACAGAAAGGAAAUGGGAGAGAUUGCUCUAUGCUUUUUUUUUUAAUUCAUGUUUCUAUGUAUACCUUUUUUUUCAUUGCUAUGGAAAGCUUUUGAGAGCAACAAUUACAACU